rnacentral:rRNA from 1 species
UACGAAGGGGGCUAGCGUUGUUCGGAUUUACUGGGCGUAAAGGGCGCGUAGGCGGCCGAUCAAGUCGGAGGUGAAAUCCCUCGGCUCAACUGAGGAAUUGCCUUCGAUACUGUUCGGCUUGAGUCCUGGAGAGGGUAGCGGAAUUCCCGGUGUAGCGGUGAAAUGCGUAGAGACCGGGAAGAACACCAGUGGCGAAGGCGGCUACCUGGACAGGUACUGACGCUGAAGCGCGAAAGCUAGGGGAGCAAACAGG